UGCUCAGAGGUAAACGGAUGGGCCCUCGAAAUCCUGUGGCGGGAGGAUUCAG
rnacentral:rRNA from 1 species